rnacentral:lncRNA from 1 species
GUGAAUGCCGAAUGGGGCCGUCGCUGAUUGUUGUUGGUAGGUCGCCUCUAGCAGGGUGGCAUCCCGCCACGUGGCGAGCAGCCCGGCCGCCCCCACGCUGGAUGUGGACGUGCCACAUGCACUGCACGCACGGAUCACCGGCGAAUCAAGGCCGCCGUGGCGAGGAGCUGCCACUAUUCGUAGUGGCUAGCUAGCAUGGGCCAUGGGAAACAGAAACAGGGCCCGCUCUCGACCGACCAAACCAACCAAGGGUAGUAAACGCGCGCGCCGAUCGGUGGCCACUGGCCAGGCUCGCUCGUGGUGGCGCUGCUGCGACGCCGCGCAGGCAACGCGACACGCGUUAUGCCGGCCGCCGGCGCGGCGGCCUUGUACUUGUCCGGCCUCCGGCGCCGUGACGCCGUCUCGUUGCUCGACCUGGUUUGGUGACGGUUAGGCGCGUCCGGUGCCCGUCCGGUCAUAUUUGAGACAGGUGCGACGGCCGCAUGGGCUACGAUGAUUGUCCCGACGGCACAAAUAAUUGGGGUCGCCGUCGCCCAAAUGAUUCGUGCCAAUCUCGAUCUACUAAUAUCUAACGAGGCGCUCGCUUUCCCGUACCGGCCGAUGGUCUCGGGGACGUGAUUAAGCGCCCUUUUGAACUACGCGCGCGUGUCCUUGCCGUUUCUUUUGCGAGAUUAAGUUAGGCGUACGGCCACCGCUGCUGAGAAAACUGCGGUCACAUCAGAAUCAUCAUUUGCCGGUGGAAAAGUGUGGCAAGGGACCAAGCGUGCGAGCCCAGGCAGCGGCAGGCCAGGAACCGGACGCCGCGCCGCGCGCGGUGGCUUGCUUCGUCUGGCAGCAGAG